AGAGCCGAGGUGAAGGUGGCCGUUGCAGUGGUGCAGCACAAUGUGCCAUUUGCAGUUGCAGACCAUUUCAGUCCAUUGUACAAGGAGUGUUUUAAAGAUUCUCCCACGGCUCAGAACUUCAAGAGUGCCAGCACCAAGACAACAUGCAUCAUCAACAAAGUAGUGGCACCACAUUUUAGAAAUGAAUUGGUGACAAAGAUGAGGGAGAAUCCCUUCACACUUGUCACAGAUGGCUCAAAUGAUACAGGACUAGAGAAGAUGAAUCCCCUCACUGUAAGGAUAUUUGACACCACCAAAGUUGUCCACAGAUUUCUGGAUAUGUGCACCACCAGUGGACAAAGCUGUGGCACAGCUGAAGUUAUAUAUAUAUAUUAAAAAAAAAUCAAUGACGUCUUGCGGGAAAAUAACAUGCCUUGGAGAAAUUGUGUUGGUCUCUCAAUUGACAAUGCACCUGUAAAUACAGGUGCCAAAAAUUCCAUUGCAGCCAGAAUGCUGAAGGAAAAUGACAGCGUUUACAUACAUGGAUGCCCCUGCCAUAUCAUUCAUAACACUGCCAGACAGGCUGGGCAGAGGUUUCUGGAAAUAUCUGGAUUUGAUCCAGAGGAUCUGACUGUGGAUGUUGGAUACUGGUUUAAGGGAAGCACCAACCGUAAAGGUUACUGGGCAGAUGAGAAACAUCCAAGGUUUAGAAGGCUGGUGGAUGCAUUUUCCAACCCUUUGACCGAAGUCUACCUCCUCUUCUUCCAAACGACACUGCCAGUGUUCUCUACAUUGAACCUCCUCCUCCAGAGAGAAAAAUCAUCCAUAUUCCAGCUCCAUGGAGAGGUAAAAUGGAAGGGUUGGGCUAUCUGUUUGGUUAUUUUUUUUUUCAUUAGCUGAUAUUUCCUGAUACACUUAACGUCAUCCAUCAGUCAGUCAUCCAUCAGUCAGUCCCCCCAGGAUUCCGCGGGCCUUUUUUGUGAUUGUUGCGGGCUAAAAUGUCUGAUGUUGCGGGGCGGUUUCCAAAAAAUUGCAAUGAAAGUUGCAGUGUUUUUUAGGUUUUUGUUGCGAUUACAUUGCGGGAGGAAGUGAAAGUUGUGAGAAAUUGUUGCGAUUUUCUCUUUUUGUGAUUACAAUUGAGUGAUAUGUUAAAUAUUAAGUUAUUACUGAAAAACUAUUGAUUAAAAAAAACAAAGCCACUGAGAAAUGGUCCUAUAAACAACUUUACCAAUAUAAAAGAUUACCAGGACUACAAAUAUGCAGAAAAAUAGGCUUUUCUUAUCCAAAUGCACCUGUUGGUUCAAAAGUUAAAGUGCAUAGAACCUCACAGCACAACAUGAAGUUACCUUAAAAUAUAAUAUAAAUGCCUCAGCUUUCAUCUCAUCUCAUCUCAUUAUCUCUAGCCGCUUUAUCCUUCUACAGGGUCGCAGGCAAGCUGGAGCCUAUCCCAGCUGACUAUGGGCGAAAGGCGGGGUACACCCUGGACAAGUCGCCAGGUCAUCACAGGGCUGACACAUAGACACAGACAACCAUUCACACUCAUGGUCAAUUUAGAGUCACCAGUUAACCUAAC